GGCAAUCUUUUUGUAAAAGGAUCUCUAGAGAGACACUUUAUCCACAGAUCCAUACUUUGGCCUAUGUGUGUAUAUCUUGAAGAAGCUGUUUCAAGCUGUAGUCAACCACCCUGUAUAGGAAUGGGAAUUGUUGAUUCUAACAAUUGGAGUAGCCAUGUCCACGAGGCUCAGUACUGGUGACCAUGAAAUCAGAAGAAAGCAGCUUGGAAAACUUCAGAUAAUUUGGAAGUUCAACCAGUGCCAGAUGUGAUAGACCCUGUGUUUGGGAACCCCACAGCUGCCUUUAUUCUGUUCAGCAUGCUUUCUCUUCCUUUUGGUAGAUCACCAGCUGUCCUAUGUGCCUCAACUCAAGUUACAAUAGCAAAGUUCACUUUAGCUCUGGGAAACUGAUCCCUCUUAACAACUCCAUAGCAAAUUCCUAAAGAGAUGACCUCAAUUACGAACUGUCUCUGUUAAAGUAGACUUAUUGGGCCUACUUAGAACAAAACUGUAAAUGGCUUCCAUUGCAUCUGUAAAUGGAGUAACUUGAGGAGGGACUUUUCAUAGCUGAUUUUAGGGACUCUGGUUCACAGCGUGUAACUAGAGGCACAG
rnacentral:lncRNA from 1 species